AGUGAACGCUGGCGGCGUGCCUAACACAUGCAAGUCGAACGAUGAAGUCCUUCGGGAUGGAUUAGUGGCGCACGGGUGAGUAUACCAUAGAUAAUGUACCUCUUAGUUCGGGAUAGCCACUGGAAACGGUGAUUAAUACCGGAUACUCCUUCUUGUCUUAAGACGAGUCGGGAAAGUUUUUUCGCUAAGAGAUCAGUCUAUGUCCUAUCAGCUAGUUGGUGAGGUAAUGGCUCACCAAGGCUAUGACGGGUAUCUGGUUUGAGAGGAUGAUCAGACACACUGGAACUGAGACACGGUCCAGACUCCUACGGGAGGCAGCAGUGAGGAAUAUUGCACAAUGGAGGAAACUCUGAUGCAGCAACGCCGCGUGGAGGAUGACGCAUUUCGGUGUGUAAACUCCUUUUAAGAGGGAAGAUAAUGACGGUACCUCUUGAAUAAGCACCGGCUAACUCCGUGCCAGCAGCCGCGGUAA
rnacentral:rRNA from 1 species